CCUACGGGGGGCAGCAGUGGGGAAUAUUGCGCAAUGGGCGAAAGCCUGACGCAGCGACGCCGCGUGAGGGAUGAAGGUCUUCGGAUCGUAAACCUCUGUUAGCAGGGAAGAACGGUCACUGUGCUAAUCAGCAGUGCAUUGACGGUAUCUACAAAGGAAGCACCGGCUAACUCCGUGCCAGCAGCCGCGGUAAUACGGAGGGUGCGAGCGUUAAUCGGAAUUACUGGGCGUAAAGCGCUCGUAGGCGGUAUGGCAAGUCAAGGGUGAAAUCCCCGCGCUCAACGUGGGAACGGCCUUUGAAACUGGCAAACUGGAGUGUGUGAGAGGAUAGUGGAAUUCCAGGUGUAGGAGUGAAAUCCGUAGAUAUCUGGAGGAACAUCAGUGGCGAAGGCGACUAUCUGGCACAUAACUGACGCUGAGGAGCGAAAGCGUGGGUAGCAAACAGGAUUAGAUACCCGUGUAGUC
rnacentral:rRNA from 1 species